rnacentral:rRNA from 1 species
AGCGCAACCCUUGUCUUUAGUUACCAUCAUUCAGUUGGGGACGUCUAGAGAGACUGCCGGUGAUAAACCGGAGGAAGGUGGGGAUGACGUCAAAUCAUCAUGCCCCUUAUGACCUGGGCUACACACGUACUACAAUGGCGCAUACAACGAGCUGCGAGAUGGUGACAUCAAGCGAAUCUCUUAAAAUGCGUCUCAGUUCAGAUUGGAGUCUGCAACUCGACUCCAUGAAGUCGGAAUCGCUAGUAAUCGCGGAUCAGCAUGCCGCGGUGAAUACGUUCUCGGGGUUU